rnacentral:rRNA from 1 species
CACCAGGUUGAUUCUGCCUGACGUAGAUGCUAGUCUCUAAGAUUAAGUUAUGCAUGUUUAUGUAAUAAGGACGAACAGCUCAGUAGAACUACGAUGAUUUAGUCUGUCUGACAGAGAUAACUACGUGAAAAUGUAGCUAAGAGAGGACAGAAUAAGACGUAGGACUAUCAGUUAGUUGGUAGUGUAAUGGACUACCAAGACGAUGACGGGUAACGGGGAAUCAGGGUUUGAUACCGGAGAGGGAGCCUGAGAGAUAGCUCCCACGUCCAUGGACGGCAGCAGGCGCGAAAAUUGCCCACUCUUUGCAGGAGGCAGUUAUGAGACGUGACAGUGAAUAUUCUGCAAAGAUGAAUAGGAGAAUUGGAGGGCAAGUUUGGUGCCAGCAGCCGCGG